AACGAACGCUGGCGGCAGGCCUAACACAUGCAAGUCGAGCGGGUCCUUCGGGACUAGCGGCGGACGGGUUAGUAACGCGUGGGAACGUGCCCAAAGGUACGGAAUAGCCUCGGGAAACUGAGAGUAAUACCGUAUGUGCCCCUCGGGGGAAAGAUUUAUCGCCUUUGGAUCGGCCCGCGUUGGAUUAGGUAGUUGGUGGGGUAAUGGCCUACCAAGCCGACGAUCCAUAGCUGGUUUGAGAGGAUGAUCAGCAACACUGGGACUGAGACACGGCCCAGACUCCUACGGGAGGCAGCAGUGGGGAAUCUUAGACAAUGGGGGAAACCCUGAUCUAGCCAUGCCGCGUGGACGAUGAAGGCCUUAGGGUUGUAAAGUCCUUUCAGCUGGGAAGAUAAUGACGGUACCAGCAGAAGAAGCCCCGGCUAACUCCGUGCCAGCCGCCGCGGUAAUAC
rnacentral:rRNA from 1 species